ensembl:lncRNA
CUUCGGCUCCACUCUGUAUUCUGCUGGGGUACCGGGAAACGACAGAGGCCGUUUUCCUCUGCGUCGGUCAGCGGCCAGAACCGAGCAGCGCACUCAGCCCUGCGGCGAGGCAGGACCGGGCCCCCGAGAGACGGGAGCGGGGCGCUCCGGCGGGGAAGUGAAAAAAGCAGCCCUGAGGAAGGAGGCCGUAUCUGUACGCGUCGUAGUUGUGGAUGGCUCGGUUCACGUCGCGCUCGUAAUUCGCUAGCUCUACAGGGAGAAACACAGUUGGAGCAGUCGAGCCGGAUCCAAGGAUACCCUCCCUCCCCCCGCGCCCCCCGUACCCAUGAGGAAGUCUGCGAUGCCCUGGUUGAGGCUCUCCUGCAGCACCUUCCGCUUGCUCAUUGCAAUCAGCAGCAACGACCAACACCGGAAAAUCACCCGGCAGCACUUCCGGCGGUGACGCAAUCAGACCGCGACAGGCUGCGGCGCGCGCAAUGCGGAACGUGCGGAUCGCUCUGCCGCCGCGCUCCGGCUCCGACGGGGGAGGAGCCGCGGCGGAGUUCCCCGUUCCGCCGGCGCAGUGGAGACGCGGCUGAUAGCGAAGAGGUGCUGCGGGUGCCCAGGUUCACCAGUCUUCGCCCUGCAUUGCUCAAGUUCCACCUGGGAUUGCUGAAGACUGUACAGGAUUGCUCAUCUUUGCUGGGGUUCCAUGAAGUCCGCAUGGGGUUUGCAAAAUUCUGUACAGGUUCACUUAAGUUUACACUGGUUUGCACAGUUUUGCUGGUCUUCGCUGUCUAGAAGUUCUACUUCUUUACUCAAUCCCUGAUAGUUUGCAGGUGGAAUCUUGAUUUCUGAUUCAUCUAGUGCUCACCAUAGUGCUGCUGCCACUUCCCCCACCUUGUCAGGGGAUGUCCCUUCAAUUAAAAUAUCACCUGUACAUUGAUACAGUUUCACUGCUUCAGGGUGUGAUAUUAUUUGUAAAAGCUCAGCAAGCACAGCAGGAACAAGGGUGGCAGAAUGUUUACAUACCUAUGGGAGUCUGCUAAAGGUAUUUUGUAUCCCCUCCCAAGCAGAAGCAAAGUUUUCUUCGUCCUCUUCCUGCAAGGGAACCAUACAGAACAUGUACACCAAAGGCUGCCAUCCGUGGACGUGUGGCUGCUCACAAAAACAGCUGUAACAUUGGCAGUGUUUGAAACAGCAGCUGCUAGCAGGGCUGUAUUAGCAUUCAGGCACUGAUAAUCAAUUGUUUAUUGCCACCUCCCAUCUGGACAGGUGAGUUAUAUGGGAAGUCCCUUCUGGAGAUUAUUUGGAUUUUUUCCAAAUCGGCUGUGACUUCAGAAAUCCCAUGUUGUGCCACAGCAGAAAUGGCGUACUGCAGUAUGUCAGCAAUCCACGAUUUGAGGAGUGCAGGGGCUACGCAAAGUAUGCAUGCUGCAGCCUCCCUUUCUUUGGGGUUUGGGUUUGAUACUUGAGCCAGAAGACCACAGGCUGCCAUACAGGCAGGUUCCAGGUUCACCCACUGAGGACACCAAAUCCUAAUCUGAGGGGCUCUGGGGAGGUUUCGGGGGCACUGAGGCGCACUCAGGGCCUCUGUGGAGCACUGGGGGCUCUGAAGGGCACUCGUAGGCUCUGAGCCGAUCUGGGGGGCACUGAAAGGCACUGCGGGUCUCUAGGGGACAGUGGGUGGAACCGGGGUUGUCUGAACUAACGCGUGUGCAAUUCUGAGCCUGAGUUGGCACAUGCACAGUGCGGUGCCAAAACUCACGCAUGCGUAGUGAUGUGUCUGAAUGAGCGCACGCGUACUGCACUAUCGGAAUCGGCGAAUGCGUAGUGCAGUGCGGAAUAUUGCGCAUGCGUGAUGCAGUGAAAAAGUUACGCAUGCGUAGUGGCGUGCCAACUCUGGCGCAUGCGUAGUGCUGUGUCUGGAAUAGGGCAUGCACAUUGCCAUACCGAAGCACUACAGAGCCCCACAGAGCCCUAACCCCGGGGAGAAAAUGUCAUAUAUUUGGGAGAAAACUGGUGUUUUGGGGAGAAAAGGUCACAUUUUGGGGGAAGAAAAACGGGUGUCACAGAGUUAUGUAUAUCAACCUACAACCGUCCCAGGGGGGCUGUAGGCACGUGGCCCCCGACCCCAAGAAAGGGGAAUGGAAAAGGGAAGGGAGAUGGGAGCUGGGCUCAAAAACAGAACAGUGGCAACGAUCUAAGGAGGAAAACUUAAUUUUACUAACUACGGUAUCGGAAUGGAAGAUAACACAGUAUAAUACUACCUAACUGAAAUUGUGGCUAAUAAAUAAAAUAAGAGGGACA